UGCUUUAUAAGAGCGCUGCAGCCUGGGCACUGGUUUGGCACAAGACUUCCCAGAGCAGGACAUGUAAAAGGCACAAAUAAUAGCCAGUGUCCUCCAUGGCCUUGCUUCAUGAUGAUGAUGAUGAUGAUGAUGAUGUAUGGAAUACACAACUUAAUGAUAAGAGCCACACACUGCAGGCUCGGGAGCACAAAUGAUGGAGCCCUACGAAGUCUGGCAGGUAACAAAGGACUACAAAACCAGACCGGGGAUAGAUUUGAUGAUGUGGAACCGUUGGCUUCUACAAGCCGCGAUCUCGAACUCUCACUGGAGCGGUUCGCAACCGAGCGUAAAGCGGUUGGGGUCAAAAGCAGCACCUCCAAAUCCGAGAUCAUGGUCCUCAGUCAGAAGAGGGUGGAGUGCCCUCUCCGGGGCGGGAUGAGAUCCUGCCCCAAGUGGAG